AGAGUUUGAUCCUGGCUCAGAAUGAACGCUGGCGGCGUGCCUAACACAUGCAAGUCGGAUGUGCCGCAAGGUGCAUGGCAGACGGGUGAGUAACGCGUGGGAAACCUACCUCUUUGUGGGGAAUAACGCUCCGAAAGGAGUGGUAAUACCGCAUGAGACCAUGGACUGGGACGUCCAUGGUGAAACCUGGGGACCGUAAGGCCUGGGGCAAGGAGAGGGUCCUGCGUCUGAUUAGCUAGUUGGUGGGGUAACGGCCUACCAAGGCAACGAUCAGUAGCCGGCCUGAGAGGGUGAUCGGCCACACUGGAACUGAGACACGGUCCAGACUCCUACGGGAGGCAGCAGUGGGGAAUUUUGCGCAAUGGGCGAAAGCCUGACGCAGCAACGCCGCGUGGGUGAUGAAGGUCUUCGGAUCGUAAAACCCUGUCGUCAGGGACGAAGGUUAGUCGUUGAAUAGGCGAUUGACUUGACGGUACCUGGAGAGGAAGCCCCGGCUAACUCUGUGCCAGCAGCCGCGGUAAUACAGAGGGGGCAAGCGUUAUUCGGAAUUAUUGGGCGUAAAGGGCGCGUAGGCGGUUUUUUAAGUGAGAUGUGCAAUCCCCGAGCUUAACUUGGGAACUGCAUCUCAGACUGGAAGGCUAGAGUGCUGGAGAGGGUGGUAGAAUUCCACGUGUAGCGGUGAAAUGCGUAGAGAUGUGGAGGAAUACCAGUGGCGAAGGCGGCCACCUGGACAGUAACUGACGCUGAGGC
rnacentral:rRNA from 1 species